GGCCUGAGUUACCGAGUUCUUGCAGAAAGCAGUGUAGUGACCACCAUCCAGAUCUCCAAAGUGGUUCUAGGGAAGAAAGGCAUGGUUUCCACAUGUGAAUGCUCUGACUGAUGGGAUAAAAAUGACAAGGCCAAAGACCAUUUUAAAGGGUCUUAUACUGAGGAGAUCAUUUUCUCAAGUCUUACAUACUGUCUAACUUGGAACUGCUUAUACAUUGUAUUCAUUGACUUUAAUAGAAUUAGAUAGGAAAUCAGACUAACUGGAGUUCUAAGUUGUGACCCUCCAUGUGUGGUUGUGCCUCAGUGUCUCAGGGCUGCAGCAGUAAAACUGAAGAGCUGGCACAAAAACCUCUGACCUCCAAGGCCUAGAAUAUUUCCUAGCUAGUUUUUACAAAGUCUGCUGACCCCUCAUACAAAAGAAAGAGAAUAACAUGAAGUGCUAACCUUAAGAACCCUCCCCUUUGACAAGCCCCACUCUGCAUCUGUUGACAGCAGGAAGCAGCAGCUGCAGCUCACGCCUGUAACCCUAGGCCUUGGAAAGGUUGAGGCAAGAGGACUGCCACGAGUUCAAAGCUUAGACCCUGUCUCAAAAAGAAAACAUCCACCUUUUUUUUUGUUUUGUUUUGUUUUUUGUUUUUAGAGACAGGGUUUCUUUCUCUGUGUAGACCAGGCUGACCUUGAACUCAGAAAUCCUUCUGUCUCCCAAGUGCAGGGAUUAAAGGUGUGUGCCACCACUGCCCAGCCAGCUUUUUUAUUUAGUACGUGUAUUUCCCAAGUGUACGUAUGUACACCAUGCGUGUGCUGGUGCAUGUGGAGGCCAGACAAGAGUUUGUAGUUCCCUGGAACUGGAGCUACUGAUGGUUGUGAGCCAUCAUGUGGGUGCUGGGAACCAAACCCAGGUCCUCCUCCAAGAACAAGAAGUGCUCUUAAGCACCGAGCAGCCAUCUCCCUAGCCCCCUUUCAGCCUUUAUCAGAUUUCUUAUGCACCACAGCACAAGGGAUGCCCACUAACAUUUCCUCAGUUUCCAUCAUGUCUCUUUGCCUAUCAUGGAUCAAAAUGGAGGAAGAGGAUUAAAGAGGAGAAUGAGGUAGGUGGGAACUAGAGCACUGGAACUGCAAGGUCACACAAGCUCUAGAGAACAGGGCUUCGGUUUCAGAAAAUAUGCUAGAUUGAGGUCUGCAUACCUCAGUGGAAAGACAGGCUAAGGCUCUUGCCAGCAAGCCUGAUAACCUGAGUUGUGUAUCUGGGACCCACAUUGGGGAGGAGAACUGAUUCCUGCAGGUUGUUCUCUGAGUUCCAUAUGUUCCCUGUCAUGUGUGCUUACAUACAUACAUACAUACAUACAUACAUACAUACGCAUAAUAACCUCUAAAAUGUAAAACCUUUAGCACUAGGCAUGGUGGCUGAAAUCCCACCAUAGAAGGUUGAGGCAGAAGAUUGUGAAGUGGAGGCCAGACUGAGCUAGAAAAAAAGAACUGGGUG
rnacentral:lncRNA from 1 species